CUAAUAUAUAACAUGACAUGUGGCAAUGAGAUGUCUGCUUUUAGAAUUUUGGAAUUAUCUACUGUAACCAUGGUUGCAGCACAAAUGUUCAAAAUUUCCAAAAAAAAUUAAGUACUGCAAACUGGAUGAAACUUUACAGGAAUAGUGACUGGCAUGUGCGGAGUUGCAUUUUGAAGUUGGAAUUUCCAAAAUGGCCGCCGUAACCAUGGAAACGGCAAAAUUGUCCACAAUUUCAAAAU
rnacentral:lncRNA from 1 species